GGCCGGGUAGCUCAGUUGGCAGAGCAACGGACUUUUAAUCCGCAGGUCGUGGGUUCGACCCCCACCCCGGUCA
rnacentral:tRNA from 2 species